GGUUAGAUAAGAUAGGGGCUUUCUAGAUUUAAAUUUAAAUUAAUUUAAGAAUAAAAAAGUUCUUAUAUUAUAGGAGGACGAUAAGACCCUAAAACCUUUCUGUAUAUCUACAUUUACUGGGGCGGUAAUUUUUUUUUCUCAAAAAUAAAAUCAACAUUUUAAAUGAAGUUAACUAUUUACAUAAGGUAAGAAGGUACUUUAGGGAUAACAGCAUAAUUUUUAUUUAGAGCACUUAUCGACAUAAAAGAUUAUGACCNCGAUGUUGAAUUGAUUUUACUGCUUAGAGUAGAUUCUUAAAUAGUAGGUCUGUUCGACCUUUAAUUAAUCNCAUGANCNGAG
rnacentral:rRNA from 1 species